rnacentral:rRNA from 1 species
AGUUGAGGUAGCUGGAAUGAGUAGUGUAGCGGUGAAAUGCAUAGAUAUUACUCAGAACACCGAUUGCGAAGGCAGGUUACCAAGUUAUAACUGACGCUGAGGGACGAAAGCGUGGGGAGCGAACAGGAUUAGAUACCCUGGUAGUCCACGCCGUAAACGAUGCUAACUCGUUUUUGGGCUAUAUGGUUCAGAGACUAAGCGAAAGUGAUAAGUUAGCCACCUGGGGAGUACGACCGCAAGGUUGAAACUCAAAGGAAUUGACGGGGGCCCGCACAAGCGGUGGAUCAUGUGGUUUAAUUCGAUGAUACGCGAGGAACCUUACCAAGGCUUAAAUGGGAAUUGAUAGCUGUAGAAAUACGGUUUUCUUCGGACAAUUUUCAAGGUGCUGCAUGGUUGUCGUCAGCUCGUGCCGUGAGGUGUUAGGUUAAGUCCUGCAACGAGCGCAACCCCUGUCACUAGUUGCCAUCAUUAAGUUGGGGACUCUAGUGAGACUGCCUACGCAAGUAGAGAGGAAGGUGGGGAUGACGUCAAAUCAUCACGGCCCUUACGCCUUGGGCCACACACGUGAUACAAUGGCCGUACAGAGG